rnacentral:rRNA from 1 species
UACGGAGGGUGCAAGCGUUAUCCGGAUUUACUGGGUUUAAAGGGUGUGUAGGCGGGCUUUUAAGUCAGUGGUGAAAUCUCCGGGCUCAACCCGGAAACUGCCAUUGAUACUAUUAGUCUUGAAUUUUGUUGAGGUAGGCGGAAUAAGUCAUGUAGCGGUGAAAUGCAUAGAUAUGACUUAGAACUCCAAUUGCGAAGGCAGCUUGCUAAACAAAUAUUGACGCUGAGGCACGAAAGCGUGGGGAUCAAACAGG